AUAACAGAGAAAAAAAGG
rnacentral:sRNA from 1 species